CCUACGGGGGACAGCAGUGAGGAAUAUUGGUCAAUGGGCGGGAGCCUGAACCAGCCAAGCCGCGUGAGGGAAGAAGGUACAGCGUAUCGUAAACCUCUUUUGUCAGGGAACAAAGGCGGGGACUAGUCCCCGGAUGAGGGUACCUGAAGAAAAAGCAUCGGCUAACUCCGUGCCAGCAGCCGCGGUAAUACGGAGGAUGCGAGCGUUAUCCGGAUUUAUGGGGUUUAAAGGGUGCGCAGGCGGCCUGUUAAGUCAGCGGUAAAAGCCCGGGGCUCAACCCCGGCGAGCCGUUGAAACUGGCGGGCUGGAGUUGGAGAGAAGUACGCGGAAUGCGCGGUGUAGCGGUGAAAUGCUUAGAUAUCGCGCAGAACCCCGAUUGCGAAGGCAGCGUACCGGCUCCACACUGACGCUGAGGCACGAAAGCGUGGGUAUCGAACAGGAUUAGAUACCCCAGUAGUC
rnacentral:rRNA from 1 species